AGAGUUUGAUCCUGGCUCAGGACGAACUCUGGCGGCGUGCCUAACACAUGCAAGUCGAACGGAGAGGCGGAGCUUGCUCCGCUGAUUAGUGGCGGACGGGUGAGUAACGCGUAAGAAGCUGUCCGAUGCAGGGGGACAACAGACGGAAACAUCUGCUAAUACCCCAUAAGCCUAAGGGUAAAAGAUUAAUCGGCAUCGGAGGUGCUUGCGUCCUAUCAGCUAGUAGGGGCGGUAAAAGCGCACCUAGGCGAAGACGGGUAGCCGGACUGAGAGGUUGGACGGCCACAUUGGAACUGAGACACGGUCCAGACUCCUACGGGAGGCAGCAGUGGGGAAUAUUGGGCAAUGGGGGGAACCCUGACCCAGCGACGCCGCGUGAGUGAAGAAAUCCCUCGGGAUGUAAAGCUCUGUUGUACGGGACGAGAGAGAGACGGUACCGUACGAGGAAGCCCCGGCAAACUACGUGCCAGCAGCCGCGGUAAUACGUAGGGGGCGAGCGUUGUCCGGAAUUACUGGGCGUAAAGCGCACGCAGGCUGAUUGUUAAGUCAGAUGUUAAAUAAUGGGGCUCAACCCCAAUAUGCGUCUGAUACUGGCAGUCUAGAGUAUGUGAGAGGAAAGCGGAAUUCCUGGUGUAGCGGUGAAAUGCGUAGAUAUCAGGAGGAACACCGGUGGCGAAGGCGGCUUUCUGGCACAAGACUGACGCUCAUGUGCGAAAGCCAGGGAAGCGAACGGGAUUAGAUACCCUGGUAGUCCACGCGGUAAACGAUGAAUACUAGGUGUUGGGAGCCUAUAGGCUUUCGGUGCCGCAGCAAACGCAAUAAGUAUUCCACCUGGGGAGUACGUUCGCAAGAAUGAAACUCAAAGAAAUUGACGGGGGCCCGCACAAGCAGAGGAGCAUGUGGCUUAAUUCGAUGCAACGCGAAGAACCUUACCUGGGUUUGACAUACAGCUGCACGGCCUAUGAAAGUAGGCUUCCUUCGAGGGUGCUGUACAGGUGCUGCAUGGCUGUCGUCAGUUCGUGCCGUGAGGUGUUUGGUUAAGUCCACCAACGAACGCAACCCCUUUGACCAGUUGCCAGCGGGUGAUGCCGGGAACUCUGGUCACACUGCUCGUUUACGCGAGAGGAAGGUGGGGAUGACGUCAAGUCAGUAUGGCCCUUACAUCCAGGGCUGCACACGUGCUACAAUGGCCGGUACAGAGGGAUCCCAAGCCGCGAGGCGGAGGCAACCCCCCAGAGCCGGCCCCAGUUCAGAUCGGGGUCUGCAACCCGACCCCGUGAAGUCGGAUUUGCUAGUAACGGCGUAUCAGCUACGACGCCGUGAAUGCGUUCCCGGGCCUUGCACACACCGCCCGUCAA
rnacentral:rRNA from 1 species